rnacentral:rRNA from 1 species
UUUAAAUGUAAAUAUUUGAACUAAAUUAGUAAUAGUUAUGUUCUUCAAAUUUAAAGAUUUUGGCGGUAUUUUAGUCUAUUCAGAGGAACCUGUUCUGUAAUUGAUAGUCCACGAUUAACUUUACUUAAUUUUAAAAAUUUGUAUAUCGUUGUUUAUAGAAAAUUUUAUAAGAAAAAUAAUUUUUAAUAAAUUUUAUUAUAUUAUAAAUCAAAUCAAGGUGCAGUUUAUAGUUAAGGUAGAAAUGGGUUACAAUAAAUUUAUUUAUUAAUGAAUUUAAAUUUUAAAAUUUUAAUGAAGGUGGAUUUGAUAGUAAUAUUAUUAAAUUAAAUAAUAUGAUUAUAGCUCUAAAAUAUGU